UACGUAGGACGCAAGCGUUGUCCGGAAUUAUUGGGCGUAAAGAGCUCGUAGGCGGUUUGUCACGUCUGCUGUGAAAACCCGAGGCUUAACCUCGGGCCUGCAGUGGGUACGGGCAGACUAGAGUGUGGUAGGGGAGACCGGAAUUCCUGGUGUAGCGGUGGAAUGCGCAGAUAUCAGGAGGAACACCGAUGGCGAAGGCAGGUCUCUGGGCCACAACUGACGCUGAGGAGCGAAAGCGUGGGGAGCGAAC
rnacentral:rRNA from 1 species